UACGGGGGGGGCGAGCGUUGUUCGGAAUCACUGGGCGUAAAGGGCGCGUAGGCGGCCCGCACAAGUCUGCGGUGAAAACCCCCGGCUUAACCGGGGGCCGGCCGUGGAAACUGUCGGGCUGGAGGCUGGGAGAGGGCAGCGGAAUUCCCGGUGUAGCGGUGAAAUGCGUAGAGAUCGGGAGGAACACCGGCGGCGAAGGCGGCUGCCUGGACCAGUCCUGACGCUGAGGCGCGAAAGCUAGGGGGAGCAAAACAGG
rnacentral:rRNA from 1 species